AUAAGAAAAGAGAUGUAGAUAAACGUGCUGAAGAUGCAAAUUAAUGAAACCAGCUUUUGUGCACAAAUCUCUGCAGUUUCCAGUGUUUUCAGCUUUUGUCUGAGCCAUUUUUCCUGUCGGCUUUGCAGACUCUUUCUAUAAAAGUAAUCAGGCAUCCAUUCGAGAAUUGGGGUCUUUCUUGACACUAAAGGCACAUGUCCCAGGCACAAGCCUCAGCAUCCUUAUUUGAUCUUUUUUAUACGACCAGGUCUUAAAUUUCCGAACCAUGUUUUCCCUAAUUGCCAUUUUCUCUCUAAAAUGAAGAAGCCUGGAAUAACCAGCACCUUCUUAUCCCUUCGGGGAAAUUAUUUAAUUGGGACAAAGGGAUAUGGAGUUAGAGCAACGAUAGGGCUUUCAGAACCCAAAACCUGUCUGGUAUAAUAACAGAGCCUUACUGUAACCAAUCAUUCAAUCUGUCCCUCUCCCCAACCCCAUCCUCUCCAUCACCACCUGCCAGAUGCCCCCCUGGGACAAUCGACUUUGAAACCAAACUUCCCUCUCAGGUCAGCUCCUGCAACCCCUACUCCCCACCCUUGCAGCUCUCCCCGCAGAAGUGACUUGACACACCGCGCUACAUCUGGGGAGAGGGGCGGGUCCGCUUUCCGGGUGACUCAAGUCUUUGCUAUUUGCCUUUUGUUUCUGGGAUGCCUUUGGCUGCCUUUCUCUUCCAUCUGCUUUUAAUUUUGGUGCCUGAAUCAGGGUGAAUUCCACAAGAUUCACCAGCGGUUUUGCUCCUGUCCAAGGAGGAAGCGCGCAGCCCAGCUCCCCUAGUCUCUCUUCUUAAAUCCCCCUACCUACGACUGCCGAGGUUGGCCGCACGGCGGGAGUCUCCCCGUCAGUCCUGGCCCUCCCCCGCCCCCCAGGUUGGUUUUUCCCAGCUGCGGAGGUUGGGAGGUUGGGCCAGGGGCUGGGGUGCGAAGAGAGUCGGCGCCCGCAGCGCGCAGCCGGGAAGUCGUCGCUACUCUGGUGGAACUGAGUUGGUUCUGGAGGCGGCGGGCGCGGAGGACCGGGAAGAGAGGUCCGGGCGGGGGCGGAGACACCCGGAGGCCGACCUUCCGCGGAGGCGGUGCGGGAAGGAACCUGGAAAAGGAGAAGUUUGGUAGGGAAGGAAUUGGGGAUUAAGCAAGAAGUUAGGCGCGGGGAGACGAGUCUCCUCGGGAAAGGCGGAGGGCGGGAGGCCGGUUGGGUUUAUUUAGUGUGGGGCAGGGGAGAGGGAAGACUUUGCGCUCUGGGUGUCGGAUGCGCGUCCCUCUCCCGAGUAAGAGUGACUGGAGGGGUUGUGGAGGCGAGGCCGGGGCGGGCUUUCGGAGGGAGAGACUGGUGUCUCU
rnacentral:lncRNA from 1 species